rnacentral:rRNA from 1 species
GAUGAACGCUGGCGGCGUGCCUAAUACAUGCAAGUCGAGCGAAGCGGGGACGGGGGAGUAACACGUGGAUAACCUCCUAUAAGACUGGGAUAAAUUCGUGAAACCGGAGCUAAACCGGAUAAUUAACGAUGGAUCCGCUCGGGAUUAGCUAGUUGGUAAGGUAACGGCUUACCAAGGCAACGACGAAUAGGCGACCUGAGAGUGUGAUCGGACACACUGGAACUGAGCAACGGGCCAGCCUCCUACGGGAGGAAGCAGUAGGUAAUCUUCCGAAAUGGGCGAAAGCCUGACGGAGCAACGCCGCGUGAGUGAUGAAGGUUUUCGGAUCGUAAAGCUCUGUUAUUGGGGAAGCGGUACCUAAUCAGAAAGCCACGGCUAACUACGGGCCAGCAGCCGCGGUAAUAC